rnacentral:rRNA from 1 species
UUUGUAUAAUGGGUCAGCGACUUAUAUUCAGUGGCAAGGUUAACCAUCUAGGGGAGCCGUAGGGAAACCGAGUCUUAACUGGGCGUUCAGUCUCUGGAUAUAGACCCGAAACCAGGUGAUCUAGCCAUGGGCAGGUUGAAGGUUGAGUAACAUCAACUGGAGGACCGAACCGACUAAUGUUGAAAAAUUAGCGGAUGACUUGUGGCUAGGGGUGAAAGGCCAAUCAAACCUGGAGAUAGCUGGUUCUCCCCGAAAGCUAUUUAGGUAGCGCCUCGGACGAAUACUACUGGGGGUAGAGCACUGUUAAGGCUAGGGGGUCAUCCCGACUUACCAACCCUUUGCAAACUCCGAAUACCAGUAAGUACUAUCCGGGAGACACACGGCGGGUGCUAACGUCCGUCGUGGAGAGGGAAACAACCCAGACCGCCAGCUAAGGUCCCAAAUUACUACUAAGUGGGAAACGAUGUGGGAAGGCUCAGACAGCCAGGAUGUUGGCUUAGAAGCAGCCAUCAUUUAAAGAAAGCGUAAUAGCUCACUGGUCGAGUCGGCCUGCGCGGAAGAUGUAACGGGGCUAAGUAGUAAACCGAAGCUGCGGCAAUACUCUUUGAGUAUUGGGUAGGGGAGCGUUCUGUAAGCGGUUGAAGGUGUGUGGUAACGCAUGCUGGACGUAUCAGAAGUGCGAAUGCUGACAUGAGUAACGAUAAAGGGGGUGAAAAACCUCCUCGCCGGAAGACCAAGGGUUCCUGUCCAACGUUAAUCGGGGCAGGGUAAGUCGACCCCUAAGGCGAGGCCGAAAGGCGUAGUCGAUGGGAAACGGGUUAAUAUUCCCGUACUUCUUACAAUUGCGAUGGGGGGACGGAGAAGGCUAGGUGGGCCUGGCGACGGUUGUCCAGGUUCAAGUGCGUAGGCUUAAGAGUUAGGUAAAUCCGGCUCUUUUUAAGGCUGAGACACGACGUCGAGCCACUACGGUGGUGAAGUCAUUGAUGCCAUGCUUCCAGGAAAAGCCUCUAAGCUUCAGAUUGUAAGGAAUCGUACCCCAAACCGACACAGGUGGUCGGGUAGAGAAUACCAAGGCGCUUGAGAGAACUCGGGUGAAGGAACUAGGCAAAAUGGUACCGUAACUUCGGGAGAAGGUACGCUCUUGAUGGUGAAGUCCCUUGCGGAUGGAGCUGACGAGAGUCGCAGAUACCAGGUGGCUGCAACUGUUUAUUAAAAACACAGCACUGUGCAAAAUCGUAAGAUGACGUAUACGGUGUGACGCCUGCCCGGUGCCGGAAGGUUAAUUGAUGGGGUUAGACUUCGGUCGAAGCUCUUGAUCGAAGCCCCGGUAAACGGCGGCCGUAACUAUAACGGUCCUAAGGUAGCGAAAUUCCUUGUCGGGUAAGUUCCGACCUGCACGAAUGGCGUAAUGAUGGCCACGCUGUCUCCACCCGAGACUCAGUGAAAUUGAAAUCGCUGUGAAGAUGCAGUGUACCCGCGGCUAGACGGAAAGACCCCGUGAACCUUUACUACAGCUUGGCACUGAACAUUGACCCUACAUGUGUAGGAUAGGUGGGAGGCUUUGAAGCACGUACGCCAGUAUGUGUGGAGCCGUCCUUGAAAUACCACCCUUGUAGUGUU